CGUAGGGGCGAGCGUUGUCCGGAUUUAUUGGGCGUAAAGAGCUCGUAGGCGGUUUGGCAAGUCGGGUGUGAAAUUUCGAGGCUCAACCUCGAAACGCCACUCGAUACUGCCAUGACUGGAGUCCGGUAGAGGAGUGCGGAAUUCCUGGUGUAGCGGUGAAAUGCGCAGAUAUCAGGAGGAACACCAACGGCGAAGGCAGCACUCUGGGCCGGUACUGACGCUGAGGAGCGAAAGCGUGGGGGAGCAAACAGGAUU
rnacentral:rRNA from 1 species